rnacentral:rRNA from 1 species
GACGAACGCUGGCGGCGUGCCUAAUGCAUGCAAGUCGAGCGAGAUCUUCUGGAACGAAACUUCGGUCUAGCGAAGGAAGUGGAAGCGGCGGACGGGUGAGUAACGCGUAGGCAACCUGCCCCAUACAGAGGGAUAGCCUCGGGAAACCGGGAUUAAAACCUCAUAACGCGAUCUGGUCACAUGGCCGGAUCGCCAAAGAUUUAUCGGUAUGGGAUGGGCCUGCGUCUGAUUAGCUAGUUGGUGAGGUAACGGCUCACCAAGGCGACGAUCAGUAGCCGACCUGAGAGGGUAAUCGGCCACAUUGGAACUGAGACACGGUCCAAACUCCUACGGGAGGCAGCAGUGGGGAAUAUUGCACAAUGGGCGAAAGCCUGAUGCAGCAACGCCGCGUGAGUGAUGAAGGCCUUUGGGUCGUAAAGCUCUGUCCUAAGGGAAGAAACAAAUGACGGUACCUUAGAAGGAAGCCCCGGCUAACUACGUGCCAGCAGCCGCCGUAAUAC